GACUCCACUUCCCCCUCUUUCUCUCCCCCACCUUUUCCUCCGUCGCACAGCCGCCGCCACCCUCCAUCACCACGUCUCGAAGCCAGCGCCGCUGUCGCCAGAGGAAAAGAGCAGGGGAACGCGCAGCCAUCGAUCCCGUGCACCGUCUCUCCCUCUACUUGAGGACUUGCGGCGAAGAAGUCGCCGGAGGCGGAGCUCGACCCGGACGACGACAGCCAGAGGACGUCAAGGCCCCGCCGAGCAGGAGCCUGGCUAGAGGAUAGUGUGGUGCAGCCGUGCAGGGUGCCUCACCACCAUCGUCGUCCUUGCCACCACGGGCGCCACUGAGGCCAGCCUCUCCUCCACACACAGGUUCUUGCAGAUCGUAGGGCUUGAUGUGUGCUGCAAUUUAUUUGGCAUUAUGAACUCUAGCAUGACAAAUGGAUCUGGGGUGAUGGAUUUAACAAUCACUGGAGAUGGAUGCUGCCUUUGUGCAGUACUAGCAAUCAAAUGGAUUUGGGAUAAGGGAUUUGGAAUUGUGAAUGUGAGCAACCAAGCAAUCAGGCUUUUCAUCCGCCCGUUUUUGUGAAGGAGGUUUGCAGAAACAACAAUAUUGCAAAGCUUCACCGUCUCUGCAACAUCAAUAUCCCUAAGGUACUUCUGCACUAUCUUGACUGAACCUCAAGUUUUUUACAGACCAUAGCCUGCGUUCCUCGUCAUUUCGUGGAGAUGAUAAUUUCUGAGAUUUUACUACUACUUGUGUGAUUACGAGAUUGAUUUCGAUCUGUUAGAGCUACAUGUUGAAUGGGGUGAUGAGGUCUACAAGGCUGCAGUGAAUUGUUUGGUGGAAAUCAAAGAAUGUGGCAGGCUGGCGGACAGACCAUCAUACCCGAGAUUUGAAAUUACAAGGAGGACAGGAAGGCCACUCCAGUGGAAGUGUUGAGUACAUGUGUAGCCAAGUGAAGCGUCUGAGAGGUGUGAAAGCCAGGGCGAUUGGUAUGACCAUACGAGCUUAACAUGCGCUUACAAGAAAGACUCUUCUGCUUCUUAUAGGUUGUCCUAUGAUUUUUUGCUAGAAUCUUUUUGUGGAUAAUUUAAAACUGAAACAUUAGUACCUAUUGGAACGUCAUAAUGGUAUUCAUAGAUUUUGAUACUUGUGAGAAAUGGCAAUCCAUACUAUUUAACGAUGUGGCUAGGGUUUAAAAUUUAGUUGGCUUGCUACAAACACUGUUAAAUAAUGCACAGUUGUGUGAUGUCGAUUAUUGUGAUGAUAAUUUCCUGUCUGUUAUAACUACAGGUUGAUGGUUAUGGUAUAAACUCAAUUGUUGAUAUAUUUUUUUACUGGUUUUGGUUACAAGUCUCGUGAAGAACUAAGGUUUCCAGCAGAAAAAACUAAGAGCAUUAUGGUUUUCCCUUCCCAACAAUGAUGGAUACACCAGAACUCGUAUAUAUGGACCUUUGCCAAGGAUAUUCAUUUCUGAACUUAUUGUAGAUUAGCUGAGUGCUCUGAGCCAGGUGCACGAUCCAUACAAUGGUUUUCAUGGUCAUUCAAGUCGAGCGCCGAGACACUCGAGGUGAUGAGCUAGAGUUCGGUGCUUCUGCUGGUGCAUACGCAGGUUUUGGUACAAUAGCUAUUUAGCUAAUUAUUUGUUAUAUCUCAUAAGUCGAAUGAUCAAUUGGCUUUGACUAUAAAUUACUAAACAGACAUAGCAGACUAGCUGAGUACCUACGUAGCUAAUCAUUGAUCUUGUCUUGGGUGAAAGGGUGUCGUUUGUUAAUUCAGAGACUGACUAAAAGGUAACCCAUACGGCUUUAUUUUUUUACUUCCCUUCUGAACCCUUAUUUACUUGGCUUAUGUUGAUGAUAUUUCUAAUCUUUGCAGGUAUACUCAACUGCAUCUUAGUUUUGUGCUCCUGCUAAUAUAAAUAUCAUAACUCUCAAAGUUUUCAUUAUUUUUUUUACAGAUUCUUGAAGCUUUACGUGUUGGAUUCUCCAAUGUAAUUGAACUAGCUCAACAUCAUGUAGUUACAUUGUCAUGGUAGUAAUCUUUGCCUAUUGUUGACUUAAGAGAGCUAGCUGUUUGCUAGAAUAUAGAGUAUUAAACUGCUAAUUUUACACCUAUUUAUGUACAUGUCAUCAUAGUUAGAUUUCAGAAUCAGUUUUGAUUUAUGAAAAUGCUAGCUCUUUCAUAGUAUAAAAAUAUUUUCAUGAA